rnacentral:rRNA from 1 species
GUGGGGAAUUUUGGACAAUGGGCGCAAGCCUGAUCCAGCCAUGCCGCGUGCAGGAUGAAGGCCUUCGGGUUGUAAACUGCUUUUGUACGGAACGAAAAGACUUCUUCUAAUACAGGAGGUCCAUGACGGUACCGUAAGAAUAAGCACCGGCUAACUACGUGCCAGCAGCCGCGGUAAUACGUAGGGUGCAAGCGUUAAUCGGAAUUACUGGGCGUAAAGCGUGCGCAGGCGGUUAUAUAAGACAGAUGUGAAAUCCCCGGGCUCAACCUGGGAACUGCAUUUGUGACUGUAUAGCUAGAGUACGGUAGAGGGGGAUGGAAUUCCGCGUGUAGCAGUGAAAUGCGUAGAUAUGCGGAGGAACACCGAUGGCGAAGGCAAUCCCCUGGACCUGUACUGACGCUCAUGCACGAAAGCGUGGGGAGCAAACAGGAUUAGAUACCCCGGUAGUCC